CCUACGGGAGGCAGCAGUAAGGAAUAUUGGUCAAUGGGCGCAAGCCUGAACCAGCCAUGCCGCGUGCAGGAAGACGGCCCUAUGGGUUGUAAACUGCUUUUGAACAAGAGAAAACCUCGGUACGUGUACCGAGCUGAUAGUAUUGUUAGAAUAAGCAUCGGCUAACUUCGUGCCAGCAGCCGCGGUAAGACGAAGGAUGCAAGCGUUAUCCGGAUUCAUUGGGUUUAAAGGGUGCGUAGGCGGCCUGAUAAGUCAGUGGUGAAAUCUCUCAGCUUAACUGAGAAACUGCCAUUGAUACUGUCGGGCUUGAGUACAGAUGAUGUGGGCGGAAUAUGACAUGUAGUGGUGAAAUACUUAGAUAUGUCAUAGAACACCGAUUGCGAAGGCAGCUCACAAAACUGUAACUGACGCUGAGGCACGAAAGUGCGGGGAUCAAACAGGAUUAGAUACCCUGGUAGUCCGCACCGUAAACGAUGAUUACUCGUUGUUGGCAAUAUGACCGUCAGCGACCAAGCGAAAGCGANAAGUAAUCCACCUGGGAGUACGCCGGCAACGGUGAAACGUCAAANAGAGUUAGAGNGNGAGAGNGCGAGACGACGACGAGGGAGGAGG
rnacentral:rRNA from 1 species